GCGGACGGGUGAGUAAUGUCUGGGAAACUGCCUGAUGGAGGGGGAUAACUACUGGAAACGGUAGCUAAUACCGCAUGACCUCGCAAGAGCAAAGUGGGGGACCUUCGGGCCUCACGCCAUCGGAUGUGCCCAGAUGGGAUUAGCUAGUAGGUGGGGUAAUGGCUCACCUAGGCGACGAUCCCUAGCUGGUCUGAGAGGAUGACCAGCCACACUGGAACUGAGACACGGUCCAGACUCCUACGGGAGGCAGCAGUGGGGAAUAUUGCACAAUGGGCGCAAGCCUGAUGCAGCCAUGCCGCGUGUGUGAAGAAGGCCUUAGGGUUGUAAAGCACUUUCAGCGAGGAGGAAGGGUUCAGUGUUAAUAGCACUGUUCAUUGACGUUACUCGCAGAAGAAGCACCGGCUAACUCCGUGCCAGCAGCCGCGGUAAUACGGAGGGUGCAAGCGUUAAUCGGAAUUACUGGGCGUAAAGCGCACGCAGGCGGUUUGUUAAGUCAGAUGUGAAAUCCCCGAGCUUAACUUGGGAACUGCAUUUGAAACUGGCAAGCUAGAGUCUUGUAGAGGGGGGUAGAAUUCCAGGU
rnacentral:rRNA from 1 species